GACGAACGCUGGCGGCGUGCUUAACACAUGCAAGUCGAACGGUGACGAGGAGCUUGCUCCUCUGAUCAGUGGCGAACGGGUGAGUAACACGUGGGCAACCUGCCCCUGACUUCGGGAUAACGCUUCGAAAGAGGUGCUAAUACCGGAUAUGAGUCCCUCCGGCAUCUGAGGGACUGGAAAGUUUUUCGGUCAGGGAUGGGCCCGCGGCCUAUCAGCUUGUUGGUGAGGUAACGGCUCACCAAGGCGACGACGGGUAGCCGGCCUGAGAGGGCGACCGGCCACACUGGGACUGAGACACGGCCCAGACUCCUACGGGAGGCAGCAGUGGGGAAUAUUGCGCAAUGGGCGAAAGCCUGACGCAGCAACGCCGCGUGAGGGAUGACGGCCUUCGGGUUGUAAACCUCUUUCAGCAGGGAAGAAGCGAAAGUGACGGUACCUGCAGAAGAAGCACCGGCUAACUACGUG
rnacentral:rRNA from 1 species